GAGGAACCGCCGCUCAGACCUCAAAGACAGCAGGAAAGCCGGGAUCUUGCACAACCCCCGGUGUCUGCCGCUCCCCAGGCAGCCACCCGCAGCCCCCGCCCAGGCGCCGCUCCCGAGCAGAGCCGCGGGCAGCGCCGGGGCUGCAGAGCCGCAGCCCGCCGGCCCCGCUCCCACCGCGCCCGCCCCGCUCCGCACGAUGCCGAGCUUCCUGAAGUGGCUGCUGGUGACCGUGGGGGUCGCCGUGGCGGUCGUGGCGAUCACCGUGCCCCUGGUGCUGCUCACCGGCAAAAGUCCCUCGAAGUCUGAUUCACGAAAAACGUACACUCUACAGAAUUACUUGAACAAUGACUAUUCAUACAAACCCCAUAAUUUGCAGUGGAUUUCAGGAAAUCAGUAUCUCCAUGAAACAAAUAAUGGGAACAUCCUGCUUAUCAGUGCUGACAGUGGAACAUCCUCAGUAAUCUUGGCGAAUACAACAUUAGAUCAGUACAAGGCAAGCACAGCUAUAUUGUCUCCUGACCAAAAGUUUGCUCUUCUGCGGUACAACUACAGAAAGUUGUGGAGGCAUUCCUUUACAGCUUCAUAUCACAUCUAUAAUUUCAGUAGCAGCUCUAUCUUAGAUGAUGGACUACUACCUAAUGAUACACAAUAUAUAUCCUGGUCACCUGUUGGUCACAAACUGGCAUAUGUUUGGAAAAAUAAUGUUUAUGUAAAAGUUUCACCAACAGCAGAAUCUGAGGCAAUCACUCAAAAUGGAGAAGAAAAUAAAAUUUUCAAUGGAAUACCAGAUUGGGUUUAUGAAGAGGAAAUGUUUGGCACCAAUUCUGCUCUUUGGUGGUCUCCAAAUGGCAAUUUUUUGGCAUAUGCUGUCUUUGAUGAUACAGAAGUUCCUGUUAUAGAGUAUUCCUUUUAUUCUGAGGACACCUUGCAGUAUCCAAAGACCAUUAGAAUCCCGUAUCCCAAGGCAGGAACUACAAAUCCAAUUGUGCGAUUCUUUAUUGUGGAUACCAGGUCAUUACCAAAUCCAAUCCCUGUUGAAAUUCCUCCACCUACAGAAAUAAAAUCAGGGGACCAUUAUUUGAGUGCUGUAACAUGGGUGACAGAUGAAAGGAUUUGUCUGCAGUGGCUCAGAAGAAUUCAGAAUUUUUCAGUCCUUACAGUCUGUGACUUUGAAGAUGGUAAUUGGUCAUGUCCACAGGGAAAACAACUUACGGAAGAAAGCACAACUGGCUGGAUUGGCAGAUUUCAGCCAUCUGUCCCUUACUUUGCACCCGACAAUGCUACCUACUACAAAGUCCUCAGCAACGCAGUAGGUUACAAGCACAUCCAUUACAUAAACGGCUCGCAGGCUCCAGUACCUAUUACUUCAGGGAGGUGGGAAGUAAUCAGCAUACAAGCUGUAACAAAAGACUUCUUAUACUACAUUAGUAAUGAAAAUGGUGGAAAGCCAGGAGGAAGAAAUCUCUAUAAAGUGCUCUUGGAAGGGAGUCCAAGUUCUACUAAAUGUGUUAGCUGUGAUCUGAAUCAAGAAAGAUGCCAGUAUUAUUCUGUGUCCUUCAGCAAAGACGCACGGUAUUAUCAGCUAAAUUGUCUUGGUCCUGGCCUGCCCAUGUCUACUCUGCACAGAAGCACUGAUGAUCAAGUCCUCAGAUACUUGAAAAAUAACACUGAACUGGAAAAUGCAUUGAAAGAUAUUCAGAUGCCUUCAAAAAAAUUUGGCUCCCUUAGUGUAGGUGGAUACAACCUGUGGUAUGAAAUGUUACUGCCUCCCCAUUUCGAUUCAUCAAAGAAGUACCCUCUGCUCCUUGAUGUAUAUGCAGGGCCUUGUAGUCAGAAAGUAGACUAUACCUUUGAGCUCAGCUGGGCUACUUACCUUGCAAGCACCGAGCAGAUCAUUGUGGCCAGCUUUGACGGCAGAGGAAGUGGAUACCAAGGCGAUGAAAUUAUGCAUGCAAUAAACCGAAGGCUGGGAACAUAUGAAGUGGAAGAUCAGAUAGCGGCAGCCAGAAAAUUUUCAGAAAUGAGCUUUGUUGAUAAGGACAGAAUAGCUAUUUGGGGUUGGUCUUAUGGGGGAUAUGUGACCUCCAUGGUGCUUGGCUCUGGAAGCGGCGUGUUCAAGUGUGGAAUAGCGGUUGCCCCCGUGUCACAUUGGCAAUAUUAUGAUUCAAUAUACACAGAGAGGUACAUGGGCCUUCCUACAGCAAGUGAUAAUCUGCAAAACUAUCAUAAUUCAACUGUAAUGGCCAGAGCUGAAAAAUUCAAGGAAGUUGAAUAUCUCCUUAUUCAUGGAACAGCAGAUGAUAAUGUUCACUUUCAGCAAGCAGCACAGAUUUCCAAAGCUCUUGUUGAUGCCGAAGUGGAUUUUCAGGCAAUGUACUCCGCAGGAGAGCAUUAACAGCAUGCCAAUGACUUUUCCUGGGUCAAACUCAUGUCUUCACCAGGGCAAAGGAACAGUACUGGCACACAAUGUAUCACAUGCUGCUGAGGUGAAGAGGAAGAUGCAGCGUCACAAUCUCCUGAAUAUUAAAACAAUCCUUCAAGCUGUCAAUUAGCAGGUUUCACUGGUGAGAGAACAGCUUACAGCCAGACUGGCCAUCACCUCCCCUGUCCUGCUGUGUAUACCAGCACUGCAGCUGAAUCUUUAGUUUCAUACAAGUAGGAACAAUAUUUAAGUAUCAAGAGGCAGCAAGGUAAAAGAAAAGUCUAUUGCCCAACUACACUGCACUAAGGCAAUUGCUGAGAACUGAUAACACUGACACCACACCAUACUGGAAGAGAGAAAAUAAGUAUUUGUGUCAAAUGCUUCAAUCUGGUGUGUGUAUAUUACAGACACUGUGAUACCCAUAGCCUCACAUACCAGGACAUACUAUGGCUUACUGAGGUAAGAAAGAAAUGCUAGAGCUGCACAACCCAGAAACUUCAACUGCAAAUAGCUGUAAGCAUUCAUAAUGUAUGGUACAUGACUAUUUCCAACUUCUCCUUCAUGCUGUACAGAAACAAGAAACAUAAUAAAGUUUAACAGAGGUCUGACCUUUGUAACUGAUAGAAAAAGGAGCUUGCAAUAAAGAAAUUGUGAAAACUCAAAUCCCUCUUGCCCUAUCCCCCUCUCUACAAACUACCAUGGAUCAU